GAAGCUAUCAAGGAAGACAUCUUGUCUUCUACACCAUUCAAUGGUUCAGCUGGAGAUAACAAUGAUCAAGACAAAAGGUACCACAGGUUAAACAGCAGACCAUGGUUUCCAUCUACCUUUGUGUUCUCUGCUGAUCACCUGUAUAACUAAUAUUUCUUAAAGAUCAGUGUGUAGCAAUGGAAACAAUUGUAAUAAAGAUCGACAUCACACGCAAGGGGUGUAUAAAGAAAUAAGGGCACCAGGUUUGUUGGCCAUUGGCUAUUUAAAGUGCUACCCUCGUAAAACAAGGAGCAUUUGAUCGUUAACAAGUGAUGUAAAAGACAAUUUUUACCAUAUCAAAAUCAAAUGGGAUUUAGCAUAUUUGGUGACAUAGUAUUUCCA